AGAGUUUGAUCAUGGCUCAGAGCGAACGCUGGCGGCAUGCUUAACACAUGCAAGUCGCACGGGCAGGGGCAACUCUGUCAGUGGCGGACGGGUGAGUAACGCGUAGGUAUCUAUCCUUGGGUGGGGGACAACUGUGGGAAACUACAGCUAAUACCGCAUGAUGACCGAGGUCCAAAGCUCGCGAGAGCGCCUGGGGAGGAGCCUGCGUACGAUUAGCUAGUUGGUGGGGUAAAGGCCUACCAAGGCGACGAUCGUUAGCUGGUCUGAGAGGAUGAUCAGCCACAUUGGGACUGAGACACGGCCCAAACUCCUACGGGAGGCAGCAGUGGGGAAUAUUGGACAAUGGGCGCAAGCCUGAUCCAGCAAUGCCGCGUGUGUGAAGAAGGUCUUCGGAUUGUAAAGCACUUUCGACGGGGACGAUGAUGACGGUACCCGUAGAAGAAGCCCCGGCUAACUUCGUGCCAGCAGCCGCGGUAAUACGAAGGGGGCUAGCGUUGCUCGGAAUGACUGGGCGUAAAGGGCGCGUAGGCGGAUGGCACAGUCAGAUGUGAAAUUCCCGGGCUUAACCUGGGGGCUGCAUUUGAUACGUGUUGUCUAGAGUGAGGAAGAGGGUCGUGGAAUUCCCAGUGUAGAGGUGAAAUUCGUAGAUAUUGGGAAGAACACCGGUGGCGAAGGCGGCGACCUGGUCCUUGACUGACGCUGAGGCGCGAAAGCGUGGGGAGCAAACAGGAUUAGAUACCCUAGUAGUCC
rnacentral:rRNA from 1 species